GCCCGCCGGAAAUGGGCCUGCGCCGGGCGGCCGGGCCGGGGAGGGGCCGGCAGCUGCGCGCCGAGGCGGCCGCUGUCAGCGCCGGCACCGCCGCGGGGCUGCGGCUGCUCAUGGCGGCGUCGGGCUCCUCCCCAGAAGGGAAUACUGAAGAACCGAGAUCUGAAGGGCUAAAUCAUCAUCUAAUGAUUCAGCUGGAGCUGGGGAGAUCCAGCAGGAGGAGGAGAAGAUUGCGGUGGUGUGGGAACAGCUUCAGCAAAUGGAGCAGGCAGGUGUGACGUAGAGCAAUCUGCACCAAACGCAGCCCAAAGCUUCAAUGUCCUGACGAAUGGUCCUCUGCUCCAAGAUAUCGUGGUCCAUCGCUUCUGUUGACCCUGCCAUGCUGAUGUCCAGCAGUGCUGAGCCCCUGGAUGAUUCUGUGUAUAACGGACUGUACAAGUUCCCUUUCAUUCAUCCUUCAGAUUCGUUGAGCUUGCAUUACUACACUUCCCAGUUUUUUCCAGGUUCCUGUUCCACCGAUUUUGGGAUGUUAUCAACUCAUCGAAGAGGACUCACAGUUAAAAACAAUUAAUUUAAAGCUUCAUGAAAGCAUGAAGAGUUCUUUUUGAGCAGUGUGAAGCUCGUAUACCUUUUUUCAACAGGGGCCCAAUCGCUUAAUUAGAGUCCCAAGUUAGCUAUGGCCAACUGGAUUUGUCAUGAGAGAAGAGCCUACUGGUUUGGAUCGUUGGAUUUGACGUCCUGUCAUUUUGGGGUACUCUUGUGCACCAAGAGCAUGUAACACGGAUUGCCAGUAUGAUAAUAUGCAUCUGGUCAUGUUUUCCUUCUUUCUGUAGCUGUAUUUUAGGAUCCCAGAUUCCACACUUACUGGAUGUUAUGUAGACCAAUAUUCUAUUCAGAUCUUCGCACCAGGAAAACCCAAAAUUACUGCAUCCCUGGAACUAAUUUCUUCUGAUUACUCCAUCUGGAAUUCCAAAGCACCAGCACCUAUGGUGUACAAAGCCUUAUUUGACUCAUUUGCUUGUGAAUUAUUUUUAUAUUUAAACAAAACGGACAGCUAAUGAGAGUAACUUCAUGAUACAGUGAAAAUAAAUAUCCUCCAGCACUUGUAGUUUGCAUGUUUGCUUAACAAUUUUUUUGAGGAAAAACAAAAGAAGUCACUUCUCUUAAAAAUAUUAGUUGGCUUUAAAUUGCUUAGUUGUGGAUAACAGCUGAGAGAAGACAAUUUGAAAUGUACUUGCUGUGGCUAUUUUUACUUUCCCUUCUAACAUUAACUGGUACAAAAUAAGCAGGCAGUGGUACAGAUGUGUCAUGAGGUCACAAGAAUCUGAUUAGACCCCAGAUUAAUAGGACAGUUAAGAGCAAGACCUGCUAUUUUCACAAGAUAGUUACAGAAUACAUAUGAGUCAAUAAUGUACAGGAUUUGGGGGGGGCGGGGGGAGUAUGGCAUGAGCAGCGCUUCUAAAAGGGGAGAUAAUAGAGGGGUUUUUAUUGCCUUUGUCAGUGAUGAGUUCCCUUUCAUACAAGCCAGCGAACUGCAUUGCUCUGAAACCCAGAAAUAGUGAUGAUCCAGAGGUGUGAAGCUGGUUUUAUCAAAUCACAGGCCUAGCUCUGAGCAGGUCAAACCAGCUAAGUUUGCUGAAGGUUCCAGAACAACAUCGCCAAGCCAUUUUCCCUGGAAAAAAAACAGGCAUAAAAGAAAAGGACUCAGUUUACGGAGGCUGACCUCUGAUUUUGAGAAGAGAAUCGGUAUCUGCAGGAACAGAGGAAAUUCACAUUAAAAAAGUUAUCAGGAAUUGAGCAAAUUGUGAAAGGCUGGUGAAAAACAUGAAAGAACCUGAAGAGCAGCACAAAAGAAGAAUGCCGUCUAAUAACCGAGUGUGCCAGCUGCUCCAAUACCUCUUGUUUAACUGUAUGAUAAGUGAUUAUGUAAGGAGGAAAGUUUUAAGCUAUAAUUUAAAAAAUGCUUAGAUUGAGAUAGUAAUCUAACAGGUUGGCUAAAUGUUCUAAAGGGUGGGUUAAUUAACGUGAAACAUGUCAUUCAGCUGAACCUAUAAAACAGAGCUAUGCUCUGACUCAUUUCACACAGGUGAUGUGUCCAUUUUAAUUAGCAAAAGGUGAAUUGAUUUUUUUCCCCAGAAUCCAGCCCGUACCUGUUACAGUCAGUGUGUCUGGUCACCACGAUGUGAGUGGGGAGAGGGGAUCUCUCUGUUGGAAGGGUUUAGAUCACAUUCUGUUUGUCAAGAUCUUGGGGUGGGUGAUGUUUCUCUUCUAGCGCUGAGCAGUUUUCUAUAACUUCAUGCCAUCCAUCACCUGUUUUGAUUUAUUAGAAGGGUUUGCUCCAUAAAACUCUGUUUAUACCAUUUCCCCAAAUAUAAGGCCUACCCGGAAAAUAAGCCCUACCAUUAUUUUUUUCAGGAUUUUUGAGGAUGCUCGAAAUAUAAGCCCUACUCCAAAAAUAAGCCCUAGUCACAGUUCAUAAAGUCAAUUGAAAUAGCAUCCAGUCAGCUAUACAUGUAAAAAAGUUUGUGCAACAACUCUGGUUAUUGGACAAGGUUGUUGGAUCAGUUGGUGGUGAAACAGAUGAAGCCUUUCUCUUGACCUGAUGGCUACGCUUGGCUUUUGGGAAGAGCCCAUUCUCAUGGAUGUUUCAUAAGGCUUAGUAAGCUGGUAAGCUAGUAAAGUGAGCUUAGUAGUGAACUUAGUAAGCUUAGUAAGUACAUUGUAGCAACUCAGGUCUGUCACAACUGAGGUACCUUUAGGUGAGACCUGAAGAACACAAGGCAGGGAGAGAAAUGAGUGAUGGGUCUGGAGUUCAAGGAGUUAAAAAUGAUUGAACCCUUCUGUGUAUCCCUUGUAGUUCCCCGGACAAUUCCGCUGUUUCUCUACACGCUCUGAGCAUUUUCCCUGUUUUAAAAGGGAGACAAAACCACAAUUAAAUCGAGAGAAGAUUGAGAGCUCACAUGAACCUGAGGACUCUGUGGCAGAGGUGGCAUCUAACAGCUGGCUGGGCUCUGAACGUGAUGAAGCCCUGUGUCACUGGUAUUCUUUAGCUCUUUAAAAAAAAUCAAGUUUUCUGAAGAUAAUACAACAGAUACUUAAAAAUAAUCUGUGUUAAAUGGAAAAAAAAAUAACAAUAUACUCUUUUGGUCCAAGAGCAUUUGCUGCUUGAAGUGCUUAUAUUUAUAAUUGUGUCACAAGUAUCGACUCUAUGAGAUCUACGCUGAUUGCACAAAGGCUUUCAAAAGAGGUGGCCAAAGAGUUCUCCAGACUUAGUAUUGCAUUUUAGAGGCCUAGAAGAAAACUAACGUCCAAACCCUUGAGAAGAACAAACAGGACUUAAUACUGGCUUGUCAACUCAACUUUUUUCCCAAAUAAAAUAAUGGGUAUAAAUAAGACGUUAGAAUAGAGCUCACUUCAUUGAUAAAAUGAACUUGUUUUAUUUCAUUAAAAUUUUGGGGUAAUGACAUGAAUUUAAAGCAAAUAUGUACUGUCAAACUUUUUAGAUGAGACUGUACGUUAAAUUGGCAAAGAGAACUGAUGUAACAGACCUCUAAAAUUCAAAUAAUCCAAAGCCCAUGUAUAACCCAUUAAACAAGGAACACUGUUGGCAUCUCCAAAUGCAGUGGCAAUGGAGAACCACCAUCAAACACGUUUUGGAGCCUGACUGUGUUAUUUAACUCUUUCUGGAAGGUGUAGAAGGAAACGGAGAAUUUGCGUUGAUGAUGGUGCAGUGGCUGAGAAGCAGCAGUUACUGAAGGUGCUGAAGGCCUCUUCAAACCCUGAUGGUUUGGAUGUCUCAGAAAAAAACAGCUUUUAAUGAAUUCCAGCACAAGCAGGUGCAAAGGUGCCACGUGAAAUUACAGGGAUCUCCUUCAGUGUCACAGGAACUUAGGAGAGGGAUCUCCUCAGGUGUCAUGUGAACUCCCUCUCUAAAUCCUGAAUCAUACCAGAAGCAAGAUGGGACCAGGAAGCCCACCAUCCCUCAGCUGGUAACCACCACUGGAGAGCAUCUUCCCAGGCCCCCUGGGGAAGGUCAUCCCACCACAGUCACCUCCGCCAUAUCUCUUGAGCUUGCCAGUCAUACUGAGAGACAGUGUCCAGGUGUGAGACAGCAAGUGCCACCCCCAGAUUCACAGUGUCUGUUCCUCUCACCGCAGAAGGGAAUUAGUUCACCUAACAUGGUUCGAUGUUGUCAAAUCUGUGAUGGCUGUUACAUAUCGCUGCCCAGCAAUUUGAUGCUUUUCUUGUUUUCUGGAAACUCUUCCCUCCUACCAGGUUCCCCAGGUAGUUGGUGACAGCACCAAGAUGUAUCCACCAGUUCCUCAAGUACUUUGGGGCAAAUCUGUUACUUCAGCUAAUUUGUAAGCAACUACUUCUUGUGCAUAACCUAGACUUCCCUUCUCUGCAUUUUUAUCCUGUUUUACCAGUGUUAACUCCUUUGGCCAUUUAUUAAUGAGUUGAACAUUGAAACAACAAUGCAUUAAACACUUAACAGCAGUUUUCCUGUA